AAUGAACGCUGGCGGCGCGCCUAAUACAUGCAAGUCAAGCGAGAAGACGUAGCAAUACGUUUGUAAAGCGGCGAACGGGUGAGGAAUACAUGGGUAACCUACCCUAGAGUGGGGAAUAACUAGCCGAAAGGUUAGCUAAUACCGCGUACGCUCCUUGGACUUCGGUUCAGGGAGGAAAGCGAUGCCGAGGGUAUCGCGCUCUUGGAUGGGCUCAUGUCCUAUCAGCUUGUUGGNGAGGUAACGGCUCACCAAGGCUUCGACGGGUAGCUGGUCUGAGAGGACGAUCAGCCACACUGGCACUGCGACACGGGCCAGACUCCUACGGGAGGCAGCAGUAAGGAAUAUUGCGCAAUGGGCGAAAGCCUGACGCAGCGACGCCGC
rnacentral:rRNA from 1 species